UAAGAGGUCCAGCCUGCCCAGUGAAAAAUUUUAACGGCCGCGGUAUCCUAACCGUGCGAAGGUAGCGUAAUCACUUGUUCUUUAAAUCAGGACUAGUAUGAAUGGCACCACGAAGGUUAUACUGUCUCCCCUUUUUAAUCAGUGAAACUAAUCUCCCCGUGAAGAAGCGGGAAUAAAACUAUAAGACGAGAAGACCCUAUGGAGCUUUAGACUACAUAACAAUUGCUAUCUAUUUAUUUAUCCCCCGGAAACUCAAUUAUAUUAAUUCAUAUUGAUUACUAGUCUUAGGUUGGGGUGACCGCGGAGUAAAAUACAACCUCCAUGAUGAAAGAAACUUAAUUUCUUAACCCAGAGUUACAACUCUAAGUACCAAAAAUUUGACAUAAAUUGACCCAAUAAUUUGAUCAACGAACCAAGUUACCCUAGGGAUAACAGCGCAAUCUACUUCAAGAGUCCCUAUCGACAAGUAGGUUUACGACCUCGAUGUUGGAUCAGGGUAUCCUAGUGGUGCAGCCGCUACUAAAGGUUCGUUUGUUCAACGAUUAAAACCCU
rnacentral:rRNA from 1 species